rnacentral:rRNA from 1 species
UGCGUAGGCGGGUCUUUAAGUCAGGGGUGAAAUCCUGGAGCUCAACUCCAGAACUGCCUUUGAUACUGAAGAUCUUGAGUUCGGGAGAGGUGAGUGGAACUGCGAGUGUAGAGGUGAAAUUCGUAGAUAUUCGCAAGAACACCAGUGGCGAAGGCGGCUCACUGGCCCGAUACUGACGCUGAGGACAAGACGUGGGGAGCAAACA